rnacentral:tRNA from 1 species
UGCCCCGUGGCUUAGUUGGUUACGGCGUCCGACUGUUAUGUUCACGCCAUUGAAUAAUUGACAUCGGAAGAUCGAGAGUUCAAGUCUCUCCGGGGCAG